rnacentral:rRNA from 1 species
GAUGAACGCUGGCGGCGUGCCUAAUACAUGCAAGUCGAGCGAACAGACGAGGAGUUUGCUCCUCUGACGUUAGCGGCGGACGGGUGAGUAACACGUGGAUAACCUACCUAUAAGACUGGGAUAACUUCGGGAAACCGGAGCUAAUACCGGAUAAUAUAUUGAACCGCAUGGUUCAAUAGUGAAAGACGGUUUUGCUGUCACUUAUUGAUGGAUCCGCGCCGCAUUAGCUAGUUGGUAAGGUAACGGCUUACCAAGGCAACGAUGCGUAGCCGACCUGAGAGGGUGAUCGGCCACACUGGAACUGAGACACGGUCCAGACUCCUACGGGAGGCAGCAGUAGGGAAUCUUCCGCAAUGGGCGAAAGCCUGACGGAGCAACGCCGCGUGAGUGAUGAAGGUCUUCGGAUCGUAAAACUCUGUUAUUAGGGAAGAACAAAUGUGUAAGUAACUAUGCACGUCUUGACGGUACCUAAUCAGAAGGCCACGGCUAACUACGUG